rnacentral:rRNA from 1 species
GAUGAACGCUGGCGGCGUGCCUAAUACAUGCCAGUCGAGCGAACAGACGAGGAGCUUGCUCCUCUGACGUUAGCGGCGGACAGGUGAGUAACACGUGGAUAACCUACCUAUAAGACUGGGAUAACUUCGGGAAACCGGAGCUAAUACCGGAUAAUAUAUUGAACCGCAUGGUUCAAUAGUGAAAGACGGUUUUGCUGUCACUUAUAGAUGGAUCCGCGCCGCAUUAGCUAGUUGGUAAGGUAACGGCUUACCAAGGCAACGAUGCGUAGCCGACCUGAGAGGGUGAUCGGCCACACUGGAACUGAGACACGGUCCAGACUCCUACGGGAGGCAGCAGUAGGGAAUCUUCCGCAAUGGGCCAAAGCCUGACGGAGCAACGCCGCGUGAGUGAUGAAGGUCUUCGGAUCGUAAAACUCUGUUAUUAGGGAAGAACAAAUGUGUAAGUAACUAUGCACGUCUUGACGGUACCUAAUCAGAAAGCCACGGCUAACUACGUG